UACAGAGGGGCAAGCGUUGUUCGGAAUUACUGGGCGUAAAGGCGCGUAGGCGGCCUGCUAAGUCGAACGUGAAAUCCCUGGGCUCAACCCAGGAACUGCGUCCGAUACUGGUUGGCUUGAAUCCGGGAGAGGGAUGUGGAAUUCCAGGUGUAGCGGUGAAAUGCGCAGAUAUCAGGAGGAACACCGGUGGCGAAGGCGGGUCUCUGGGCCGUUGACUGACGCUGAGGAGCGAAAGCGUGGGGAGCGAACAGG
rnacentral:rRNA from 1 species